rnacentral:rRNA from 1 species
AACUUUCAGCAACGGAUCUCUUGGCUCUCGCAUCGAUGAAGAACGCAGCGAAAUGCGAUAAGUAAUGUGAAUUGCAGAAUUCAGUGAAUCAUCGAAUCUUUGAACGCACCUUGCGCUCCUUGGUAUUCCGAGGAGCAUGCCUGUUUGAGUGUCAUGNAAUU